AAGAUGGCCUCGCGUCUGAUUAGCUAGUUGGUGGGGUAACGGCCCACCAAGGCGACGAUCAGUAGCCGGUCUGAGAGGAUGAACGGCCACAUUGGGACUGAGAUACGGCCCAGACUCCUACGGGAGGCAGCAGUGGGGAAUAUUGGGCAAUGGGGGAAACCCUGACCCAGCAACGCCGCGUGAAGGAAGAAGGCCUUCGGGUUGUAAACUUCUUUWARCAGRRACGAAGAACGUGACGGUACCUGCAGAAAAAGCGACGGCUAACUACGUGCCAGCAGCCGCGGUAAUACGUAGGUCGCAAGCGUUGUCCGGAUUUACUGGGUGUAAAGGGCGUGUAGGCGGAGAUGCAAGUCAGGUGUGAAAUCCCGGGGCUCAACCCCGGAACUGCACUUGAAACUGUAUCCCUUGAGUAUCGGAGAGGCAAGCGGAAUUCCUAGUGUAGCGGUGAAAUGCGUAGAUAUUAGGAGGAACACCAGUGGCGAAGGCGGCUUGCUGGACGACAACUGACGCUGAGGCGCGAAAGCGUGGGGAGCAACAGGAUUAGAUACCCUGGUAGUCCACGCUGUAAACGCCCCUCUAGGUGUGGGAGGACUGACCCCUUCCGUGCCGCAGUUAACACAAUAAGUAUCCACCCKGGGAG
rnacentral:rRNA from 1 species